rnacentral:tRNA from 1 species
GCCGAAGUGGCGGAAUUGGCAGACGCGCCGGACUCAAAAUCCGGUGGGGCUUAACCCUCGUGGGGGUUCGAAUCCCCCCUUCGGCA